CAGGCCUAACACAUGCAAGUCGAACGCCCCGCAAGGGGAGUGGCAGACGGGUGAGUAACACGUGGGAACGUACCCUUCGGUUCGGAACAACUCUGGGAAACUAGAGCUAAUACCGGAUACGAUCGCAAGAUGAAAGGUUCACCGCCGAGGGAUCGGCCCGCGUCUGAUUAGCUAGUUGGUGAGGUAACGGCUCACCAAGGCGACGAUCAGUAGCUGGUCUGAGAGGAUGAUCAGCCACAUUGGGACUGAGACACGGCCCAAACUCCUACGGGAGGCAGCAGUGGGGAAUAUUGGACAAUGGGCGCAAGCCUGAUCCAGCCAUGCCGCGUGAGUGAUGACGGCCCUAGGGUUGUAAAGCUCUUUUACCUGGGAAGAUAAUGACGGUACCAGGAGAAUAAGCCCCGGCUAACUUCGUGCCAGCAGCCGCGGUAAU
rnacentral:rRNA from 1 species